rnacentral:rRNA from 1 species
GACGAACGCUGGCGGCGUGCCUAAUACAUGCAAGUCGAGCGGUAAGGCCCUUCGGGGUACGACGAGCGGCGGACGGCUGAGUAACACGUAGGAACGUACCCCAAACUGAGGGAUAAGCACCAGAAAUGGUGUCUAAUACCGCAUGUGAUCUUCGGAUUAAAGCUCCGGCGGUUUGGGAACGGCCUGCGCAUGAUUAGCUAGUUGGUGAGGUAAUAGCUCACCAAGGCGACGAUCAUUAGCUGGUCUGAGAGGAUGACCAGCCAGACUGGAACUGAGAACGGUCCAGACUCCUACGGGAGGCAGCAGUAGGGAAUUUUCCACAAUGGGCGAAAGCCUGAUGGAGCAACGCCGCGUGCAGGAUGAAUGUCUUCGGAUUGUAAACUGCUUUUAUAUGUGACGAUAAUGACGGUAGCAUAUGAAUAAGGAUCGGCUAACUCCGUGCCAGCAGCCGCGGUAAGGUGCGCGAGU